AUGACCUUCCUUGACCUAGAUUUGUUCUAUAGGUUGUAUAACUGUGUCCUUUGAGUUCUAAGGAGACAAGAACUAAAGUUUGGUGGAUGAACCACUGCCUUUUGGCUAGAGCGUGAUUAAUGGUUCAAUGGACCCUAGGUCUAGUGGCUGUAGAUUCUUGCCAAUUUUGUACUGCUGGGAUGGUCGCAUGGCGGUCUGACAGUCC